ACGGGUGAGUAACACGUGGGCAACCUGCCUGCAGGAUCGGGAUAACUCCGGGAAACCGGAGCUAAUACCGGAUAAUACUUUUUGCUUCAUGGCAGAAAGAUGAAAGGCGGUUUCGGCUGCCACCUGCAGAUGGGCCCGCGGUGCAUUAGCUAGUUGGUAGGGUAACGGCCUACCAAGGCAACGAUGCAUAGCCGACCUGAGAGGGUGAUCGGCCACACUGGGACUGAGACACGGCCCAGACUCCUACGGGAGGCAGCAGUAGGGAAUCUUCCGCAAUGGACGAAAGUCUGACGGAGCAACGCCGCGUGAGUGAUGAAGGUUUUCGGAUCGUAAAACUCUGUUGUAAGGGAAGAACAAGUACGAUAGUAACUGAUCGUACCUUGACGGUACCUUACCAGAAAGCCACGGCUAACUACGUGCCAGCAGCCGCGGUAAUACGUAGGUGGCAAGCGUUGUCCGGAAUUAUUGGGCGUAAAGCGCGCGCAGGCGGUCCUUUAAGUCUGAUGUGAAAUCUUGCGGCUCAACCGUAAGCGUGCAUUGGAAACUGGAGGACUUGAGUACAGAAGAGGAGA
rnacentral:rRNA from 1 species